rnacentral:rRNA from 1 species
GACGAACGCUGGCGGCGUGCUUAACACAUGCAAGUCGAGCGGUAAGGCCCUUUCGGGGUACGACGAGCGGCGAACGGGUGAGUAACACGUGGGUGACCUGCCCUUACGCUCUGGGAUAAGCCUGGGAAACUGGGUCGUAAUACCGGAUAUGACUCCAUGACGCAUGUUGUGGGGUGGAAAGCCUUGUGCGGCUAGGGAUGGGCCUGCGGCCUAUCAGCUUGUUGGUGGGGUGAUGGCCUACCAAGGCGACGACGGGUAGCCGGCCUGAGAGGGCGACCGGCCACACUGGGACUGAGACACGGCCCAGACUCCUACGGGAGGCAGCAGUGGGGAAUCUUGCGCAAUGGGCGAAAGCCUGACGCAGCGACGCCGCGUGGGGAUGACGGCCU